rnacentral:rRNA from 1 species
CUAUACAUGACUCUGCGCAUAUCAAUAAGCGGAGGAAAAGAAACUAACAAGGAUUCCCCUAGUAACGGCGAGUGAAGCGGGAAGAGCUCAAAUUUGAAAUCUUAAAGGGUUUCCCUUUACGAAUUGUAGUUUAAAGAAGUGUUUUCUGUUGGAGUUUCGGUAGAAGUUCUUUGGAAUAGGACAUCACAGAGGGUGAGAAUCCCGUAUUUGACCGUUACUUUCCAGCUGUGUGAUACACUUUCAAAGAGUCGGAUUGUUUGGGAAUGCAGUCCAAAAUGGGUGGUAAAUUUCAUCUAAAGUUAAAUAUUGGCGAAAGACCGAUAGCGAACAAGUACCGUGAGGGAAAGAUGAAAAGAACUUUGAAAAGAGAGUUAAACAGUACGUGAAAUUGUCAAAAGGGAAGCGUUUGACACCAGUGUUGUUUUCUCGAAAAUCAAUUAAAAAUGAUGGGAUUUUGUGUUGUAUUGACUUUAUCAGCUUUCUGCACUUUUUUCUUAUCUUUUUUAAUGCACUUUUCGUUUAACAAGUCAACAUCAAUUUCUUUUGUUGUAAAAGAGUCAUUGGAAGGUGGCUUUUUCUUCGGAAAAAGUGUUUAUAGCCUUUGGCUUCUGCAAUCGGAGAGAUUGAGGUCUGCAGCGUAGAUCCUUCGGGGUUAGAUACAUUUGUGCUAAGCUAUAGUUCUUUAUAGACAACUUGUUGACUAUAAUCAAUCCUGUAACUUACUCGCUUAUGCUAUUUUACCUACGCUUAGGAUGUUGAUAGUCACAGCGUGUAC